CAGUAGCCACGGGAACACGAAGGGGGCUAGCGUUGCUCAGAAUGACUGGGCGUAAAGGGCGCGUAGGCGGUUUGUACAGUUGGAUGUGAAAGCCCUGGGCUCAACCUAGGAAUUGCAUUUGAUACUGUUUGGCUUGAGUUCGGGAGAGGUGAGUGGAAUUCCCAGUGUAGAGGUGAAAUUCGUAGAUAUUGGGAAGAACACCAGUGGCGAAGGCGGCUCACUGGACCGACACUGACGCUGAGGCGCGAAAGCGUGGGGAGCAAACAGGAUUAGAUACCCGAGUAGUCCCUGUCUCUUAUAC
rnacentral:rRNA from 1 species